CUGGGGAAGUUCAGACGCCUGUUCCCAUUUGGUGUUUGAUACGAUAAUGUGCUAGAGGAAACUGGAGAUAACAGGGCCAGCAGCCUUUCAGGACAGACUGAAUGGUAGUAUCAGUCUCUGACACCA